CAGUCGCCGCGGGAAUACGUAGGUGGCAAGCGUUGUCCGGAAUUAUUGGGCGUAAAGCGCGCGCAGGCGGAUCAGUCAGUCUGUCUUAAAAGUUCGGGGCUUAACCCCGUGAUGGGAUGGAAACUGCUGAUCUAGAGUAUCGGAGAGGAAAGUGGAAUUCCUAGUGUAGCGGUGAAAUGCGUAGAUAUUAGGAAGAACACCAGUGGCGAAGGCGACUUUCUGGACGAAAACUGACGCUGAGGCGCGAAAGCCAGGGGAGCGAACGGGAUUAGAUACCCCGGUAGUCCCUGUCUCUUAUACA
rnacentral:rRNA from 1 species